rnacentral:pre_miRNA from 1 species
UCUCAAACAGUAACCCUCUAAAAGGAAGCACUUUCUUUUCUUUCAGACCACAGAAAGCGCUUCCCUCUAGAGGGUCACAGCCUGAGA